CACCGCGGUUAUACGAGAGGCCCAAGUUGAUAAGGCCCGGCGUAAAGAGUGGUUAUGGACAAACACUAAAACUAAGGCCAAACACCCCCAAUGCUGUUAUACGUACCCGGGGGUAGGAAGCGCAACCACGAAAGUGGCCUUACAUUUCCUGAGCCCACGAAAGCUAUGACA
rnacentral:rRNA from 1 species